rnacentral:rRNA from 1 species
GGGAGUCUGAUCUGCCCACUGAAAGUAUUUAAGGGCCGCGGUAAUCUGACCGUGCAAAGGUAGCAUAAUCGUUAGUUUUUUAAUUGGAAUCUUGUAUGAAUGAUUGGACAAGGGGAAGACUGUCUCUAUAUUUAUUCUUGAAUUUAACUUUUAAGUGAAAAGGCUUAAAUUAUUUAAAAAGACGAUAAGACCCUAUAAAGCUUAAUAUAUUUAAAUCAUUUAACUGAAUUAGAAGAUAAUAGCUAAUUGGUUGAUUAUAUUUUGUUGGGGCGACAGUGGUAAAAUGUCUAUUAACUACUAAAUUUUACGACAAGUGUUAGUGAGUACUGGAUUAAAUGAGCCUGAAAUAAGAUUAAAAGAUUAAGUUACUUUAGGGAUAACAGCGUUAUUUUUUUUGAGAGUUCUUAUCGAAAAGAAAGUUUGCGACCUCGAUGUUGAAUUAAAGUGUCUAUACAAUUGCAGAAGUUGUAAUAGUAGGUCU